CCAGGGAUUAGGGGACUACUGAGGCUCUGGAGAUGAGACCGCCAGGAGUCCUUCCCCACCAUGAGCCCCCUCCACUCCUGCAGCUGGAGGAGUUUUUCCCAGUCUCAGUGCUGCCCUGGGGCGAGAGAGACUGAACAAGCUGUUUGGGUGGGAAGAGAAUGGAGGAAGUUGACAGGGAUGGGCGGGGCCCGUGGGGGGGCUGACCAGGAACCCAGCUUCCUGCUCAGUACCCAGGCAUCCAGCCCCCAGCUCACCCCCACCCCUUCCAGCCCCCACUCCCCUCAGGAACCCAAGGUUCCAGCCCUCCUCCCAAAUCCCAGCCACCCCUCCCCCACCAGUUUCUCCCCUCUAGGGGAUGGAGGCUGAGAGACCCCAGGAAGAAGAGGAUGGUGAGCAGAAUGGACAUAUUUUGGCAUCAGGGCCCCCCUCAGGAUGAGGAAGGCUGGCCCCCUCCAAACUCCACCACUCGGCCUUGGCGAUCUGCUCCUCCAUCCCCUCCUCCUCCAGGGACCCGCCACACAGCCCUGGGACCCCGCUCGGCCUCCCUGCUCUCCCUGCAGACUGAACUCCUUCUGGACCUGGUGGCUGAAGCCCAGUCCCGCCGCCUGGAGGAGCAGAGGGCCACCUUCUACACCCCCCAAAACCCCUCAAGCCUAGCCCCUGCCCCACUCCGUCCUCUCGAGGACAGAGAACAGCUUUACAGCACUAUCCUCAGUCACCAGUGCCAGCGGAUGGAAGCCCAGCGGUCAGAGCCUCCCCUCCCUCCAGGGGGGCAAGAGCUCCUGGAGUUGCUGCUGAGAGUUCAGGGUGGGGGUCGAAUGGAGGAGCAAAGGUCCCGGCCCCCCACACACACCUGCUGAGACUUGAGCCCCAACCAGCCCUUCCUUGCCACUGGUCUCAAAGCUGGGCAGCCCAUUGCAUGCCCUCAACUCUUGCUUGGCAGGGGUACCAGAGACUGAAAGACACGGCACAAAUCUCAAUAUUCAUCUCCCACAUCACCUUCCCUGGGAACUGGACAGGGUGAAAGUCCUCAAACUCUGGGAACAGGCGAGAUGGAACAGGGAUUUAACUCCCCGCCCACAGGUCCAUGGGAGCUUGAGGCAGUAAGGGGGAUCCCAGGCACCCAUCUCAAGGAGUGGCUGGGAGUCUUUUCCCUAACUUGUGGGGACACCACCAGUUGUCAAGCUACUAGGCAGUAGGGUCUGAGGGCUCAGGCCUCCACCUGAGAGGUUAUAACCUGAGAGACAGCUCUACCCUUCCUCCCAGUAAGAAGGGAAGGUGGGUGGGCACCUGAGAGAUUAAGACUAUUCUCCCAGUCCCACUACCAGCACCCCCGAUCCCUGAGACUGAGGGGUUUACGGGCUGUGAAUGGACCUUCAGCCCUGCCCACCCUCCCUCCCCACUGCUGCUGAGUCUGUCUGAUGUUUUGGUUGUGUGAAUAAAUAUAAUUCCCCUCUGGA
rnacentral:misc_RNA from 1 species